rnacentral:rRNA from 1 species
CCUACGGGGGGCAGCAGUGGGGAAUAUUGGACAAUGGGGGCAACCCUGAUCCAGCCAUGCCGCGUGUGUGAAGAAGGCCCUCGGGUUGUAAAGCACUUUCAGUGAGGAAGAACGCCUGGUGGUUAAUACCCAUCAGGAAAGACAUCACUCACAGAAGAAGCACUGGCUAACUCCGUGCCAGCAGCCGCGGUAAUACGGAGGGUGCGAGCGUUAAUCGGAAUUACUGGGCGUAAAGCGCGCGUAGGUGGCUUGAUAAGCCGGUUGUGAAAGCCCCGGGCUCAACCUGGGAACGGCAUCCGGAACUGUCAAGCUAGAGUGCAGGAGAGGAAGGUAGAAUUCCCGGUGUAGCGGUGAAAUGCGUAGAGAUCGGGAGGAAUACCAGUGGCGAAGGCGGCCUUCUGGACUGACACUGACACUGAGGUGCGAAAGCGUGGGUAGCAAACAGGAUUAGAUACCCUAGUAGUC